GGCUGGCGGUGACAACGAGAGAGAGCACGCCGGUGGCCAUCACGGAUAGCCUGUGGCGGUGUACUUGUGUGCUCCCUCCCGUUGUCACUGUCAU
rfam:Dichanthelium oligosanthes cultivar Kellogg 1175 unplaced genomic scaffold Do_version_2_scaffold5284, whole genome shotgun sequence.